CAGCUUGACUGCGAGCGUGACGGCGCGAGCAGGUGCGAAAGCAGGUCAUAGUGAUCCGGUGGUUCUGAAUGGAAGGGCCAUCGCUCAACGGAUAAAAGGUACUCCGGGGAUAACAGGCUGAUACCGCCCAAGAGUUCAUAUCGACGGCGGUGUUUGGCACCUCGAUGUCGGCUCAUCACAUCCUGGGGCUGAAGUAGGUCCCAAGGGUAUGGCUGUUCGCCAUUUAAAGUGGUACGCGAGCUGGGUUUAGAACGUCGUGAGACAGUUCGGUCCCUAUCUGCCGUGGGCGCUGGAGAACUGAGGGGGGCUGCUCCUAGUACGAGAGGACCGGAGUGGACGCAUCACUGGUGUUCGGGUUGUCAUGCCAAUGGCACUGCCCGGUAGCUAAAUGCGGAAGAGAUAAGUGCUGAAAGCAUCUAAGCACGAAACUUGCCCCGAGAUGAGUUCUCCCUGACCCUUUAAGGGUCCUGAAGGAACGUUGAAGACGACGACGUUGAUAGGCCGGGUGUGUAAGCGCAGCGAUGCGUUGAGCUAACCGGUACUAAUGAACCGUGAGGCUUAACCUU
rnacentral:rRNA from 1 species